AGGAGAGGGGGAGACAUAAUGUUAAGAUGUAUCUUGGGCAUCGAAAAUUUUGGCUUAGUGGCACCUUGCAAAGACAGGCCUUUUCAACAGGGAAAGCUUCCCCUUCUCGUCUUCACUUACAUUUUCUCAACUUGAUUCCCCGAGUCACUCCUGCUGAUCACAGUGUGUCUGUCCUGUACCCUGAGUCACUCCUGCUAGUCACAGUGUAUCUGUCCUGUACCCUUGAGUCACUCCUGCGGAUCACAGUGUGUCUGUCCUGCACCCCUGAGUCAGUCACUCCUCUUGGUCACAGUGUGUCUGUCCUGCACCCCCGAGUCACUCCUGUUGGUCACAGUGUGUCUGUCCUGCA
rnacentral:lncRNA from 1 species